rnacentral:hammerhead_ribozyme from 1 species
AUCCAGUUGACGAGUCCUAAAUGGGACGAAACGCGCGUCCUGUAU